AGUGAACGCUGGCGGUAGGCCUAACACAUGCAAGUCGAACGGCAGCACAGUAAGAGCUUGCUCUUACGGGUGGCGAGUGGCGGACGGGUGAGGAAUACAUCGGAAUCUACUUUUUCGUGGGGGAUAACGUAGGGAAACUUACGCUAAUACCGCAUACGACCUACGGGUGAAAGCAGGGGAUCUUCGGACCUUGCGCGAUUGAAUGAGCCGAUGUCGGAUUAGCUAGUUGGCGGGGUAAAGGCCCACCAAGGCGACGAUCCGUAGCUGGUCUGAGAGGAUGAUCAGCCACACUGGAACUGAGACACGGUCCAGACUCCUACGGGAGGCAGCAGUGGGGAAUAUUGGACAAUGGGCGCAAGCCUGAUCCAGCCAUACCGCGUGUGUGAAGAAGGCCUUCGGGUUGUAAAGCCCUUUUGUUGGGAAAGAAAAGCAUCAAGUUAAUACCCCGCUGUUCUGACGGUACCCAAAGAAUAAGCACCGGCUAACUUCGUG
rnacentral:rRNA from 1 species